rnacentral:lncRNA from 1 species
GAUAUGUUUCGAAAUGGUCCAUAUGCCAUUGAUAUGUUCUGAAAUAUUUCAUUUGUCAUUGAUAUGCUCCGAAACAUUUCAUACGCCUUUGAUAUGCUCCGAAAUGUUUCAUUUGUUAUUGUUACGCUUCGAAAUGUUCCAUAUGUCAUUGAUAUGCUCCGGAACAUUUCAUACGCUAUUGAUAUGCUCCAAUUACUCUGUACUCCAUUUGCUAUGAACUGAUAUGUUUUGAAUGACAUGACACAUAUGAUUUUGUAUCUAAUGAGAUGGUAUCCUUGAGAAUUCUUGUAUUCUACCUUGCAUUAUGAUAUCUUACUUGUUUGAAAUCGUUC